AGCGAACGCUGGCGGCAGGCUUAACACAUGCAAGUCGAACGGUCCUUCGGGAUAGUGGCGGACGGGUGAGUAACACGUGGGAACGUACCCUUAGGUUCGGAACAACACAGGGAAACUUGUGCUAAUACCGGAUGAGCCCUUCGGGGGAAAGAUUUAUCGCCUUUGGAGCGGCCCGCGUCUGAUUAGCUAGUUGGUGAGGUAAUGGCUCACCAAGGCGACGAUCAGUAGCUGGUCUGAGAGGAUGGCCAGCCACACUGGGGCUGAGACACGGCCCAGACUCCUACGGGAGGCAGCAGUGGGGAAUCUUGCGCAAUGGGCGAAAGCCUGACGCAGCCAUGCCGCGUGGAUGAUGAAGGUCUUAGGAUUGUAAAAUCCUUUCACCGGGGACGAUAAUGACGGUACCCGGAGAAGAAGCCCCGGCUAACUUCGUGCCAGCAGCCGCGGUAAUACGAAGGGGGCUAGCGUUGCUCGGAAUUACUGGGCGUAAAGGGCGCGUAGGCGGACAGUUAAGUUGGGGGUGAAAGCCCGGGGCUCAACCUCGGAAUUGCCUUCAAUACUGGCUGUCUUGAGUACGGGAGAGGUGAGUGGAACUCCGAGUGUAGAGGUGAAAUUCGUAGAUAUUCGGAAGAACACCAGUGGCGAAGGCGACUCACUGGCCCGUUACUGACGCUGAGGCGCGAAAGCGUGGGGAGCAAACUA
rnacentral:rRNA from 1 species